GGGCGCAGCCUGAUGCAGCGACGCCGCGUGAGGGAUGACGGCCUUCGGGUUGUAAACCUCUUUCAGUAGGGAAGAAGCGAAAGUGACGGUACCUGCUGAAGAAGCGCCGGCUAACUACAUGCCAGCAGCCGCGGUAAUACGUAGGGCGCAAGCGUUAUCCGGAAUUAUUGGGCGUAAAGAGCUCGUAGGCGGUUUGUCGCGUCUGCCGUGAAAGUCCGGGGCUCAACUCCGGAUCUGCGGUGGGUACGGGCAGACUAGAGUGAUGUAGGGGAGACUGGAAUUCCUGGUGUAGCGGUGAAAUGCGCAGAUAUCAGGAGGAACACCGAUGGCGAAGGCAGGUCUCUGGGCAUUAACUGACGCUGAGGAGCGAAAGCAUGGGGAGCGAACAGGAUUCGAUACCCUGGUAGUCCAUGCCGUAAACGUUGGGCACUAGGUGUGGGGGACAUUCCACGUUUUCCGCGCCGUAGCUAACGCAUUAAGUGCCCCGCCUGGGGAGUACGGCCGCAAGGCUAAAACUCAAA
rnacentral:rRNA from 1 species